GACGAAGGGGGCUAGCGUUGUUCGGAAUUACUGGGCGUAAAGCGCGUGUAGGCGGUUAUCCAAGUCGGGUGUGAAAGCCUUGAGCUCAACUCAAGAAAUGCACUCGGUACUGGGUGACUAGAGGACCGGAGAGGAUAGUGGAAUUCCCAGUGUAGUGGUGAAAUACGUAGAGAUCGGCAGGAACACCCAGGGGGAAACCAGCCGACUGGGCAAGUGCUGACGCUGAGGUGCGAGAGCGUGGGGAGGCGAACCGG
rnacentral:rRNA from 1 species